CUACGGGAGGCACCAGUGGGGAAUAUUGGACAAUGGGGGAAACCCUGAUCCAGCAAUGCCGCGUGUGUGAAGAAGGCCUGCGGGUUGUAAAGCACUUUCGGUUGGGAGGACUGCUUCUAGCACUAAUAUUGUUGGAAGUUGACGUUACCUUCAGAAGAAGCACCGGCUAACUCCGUGCCAGCAGCCGCGGUAAUACGGAGGGUGCAAGUGUUAAUCGGAAUUACUGGGCGUAAAGCGCGCGUAGGCGGCUAGAUCAGUCGGGUGUGAAAGCCCCGGGCUUAACCUGGGAACUGCAUCCGAUACUGUCUAGCUGGAGUACAGGAGAGGAGAGUGGAAUUCCACAUGUAGCGGUGAAAUGCGUAGAUAUGUGGAGGAACACCAAUGGCGAAGGCAGCUCUCUGGCCUGAUACUGACGCUGAGGUGCGAAAGCGUGGGGAGCAAACAGGAUUAGAUACCCGCGUAGUC
rnacentral:rRNA from 1 species